rnacentral:lncRNA from 1 species
UUUACUUUGUGACCGGCAAAGUGCACGUACUAGGGAGGGCUUGCAGUCUCUCACGGCAAACAGAGGCCAACACGGCCCCGUGUCGGGUUUGGCGACCGAGCGACGUGCAGGCCUGCGGCGUCACGGUCGACGGCGAGCGGAAAAGGAGGCGUGUCUGCACAAGAAACGAACAAGCGAGUGGGUCGCGACAGAGAGCGACACGAGCGGCGGCAGGAGACGGUGCGCGUUGUACGCAGAGAGUCAGACGAGUUGCGUCAGGAGCGAGCCGCAAAAGGUGCGGUUGAUUGUGGCGGCGUCGCCGAGCGCAAACUCGGUACCGUCCUCGCCGGCAAUGGUCACCGUCACCGUGUCGCCUGCAGCGAGCAAAAAGUCGCCGUCGACCGUGCCGCCGUAGGCCUGCACGCCGCCGAGCGCUUCAAACGCGGUGAACCAGCGUUGGGCGGGUGGCUGAGCGGCGUUGCUCGUCACGAUCGACAGCACGAUCGUGGGCUGGCCCGUGACCCGCGUCCCGUUGACGAUGGCAGCGAACCGGUAGGUGCCGGCCAGCGGCGCCGUAAAGGUCGACGUCGCCGGGUCAUAGUUGUCGGCGCCGACGCCGUCCUGCAGGUCAUAGAGUUGGUUCUCGUAAAGCACCUGAAUGGGCGCGGCUGUGGUCACGCUCUGGGCGGCCACCCCGUCGGCACGAAAGGCUACGGUGACGGGCGCGGGGCCUUGCGGACCCACGAUCCCUGGGGGUCCGGUCGGGCCUUGUACACCACCAGACCCUGGUGGUCCAGGCGGGCCAACUGGGCCCUGUGCGCCGGGCGGACCACUGGGCCCAGGCGCACCCGGCUCGCCGCUCGGCCCAACAGGACCGAUCAAGCCGGGAGGUCCACCCAGACCCGUUGUGCCCCUGACGACGGGCGCACACGCCGGGAUCGCUGUCGCACAGCGCGGACGCUGGAAAGAGGCUCGGCGAUCGCUCAUACGAGGGGUUGCGUUUCUCGAUCGGCUCGCCGACAAAGGCGCGCGCACGCUCUUUUGGCGCUUUGCCGCGCGGCGCCCUCAUCGUCGGCGUCUUUUUGCCCCUCUCUUUUCUUUUGCCCGUUGUUGUGCGCCGCGAGGAGGCGGCGGCGGCCGCGCAAGGCACAGAGCGCCCAAAAAAAUAAAUGCAACGGCAAUAGACCUGAGAAACACCAAAAAAACG